GACGAACGCUGGCGGCGUGCCUAAUACAUGCAAGUAGAACGCUGAAGAGAGGAGCUUACUCUUCUUGGAUGAGUUGCGAACGGGUGAGUAACGCGUAGGUAACCUGCCUUGUAGCGGGGGAUAACUAUUGGAAACGAUAGCUAAUACCGCAUAACAAUGGAUGACACAUGUCAUUUAUUUGAAAGGGGCAAUUGCUCCACUACAAGAUGGACCUGCGUUGUAUUAGCUAGUAGGUGAGGUAAUGGCUCACCUAGGCGACGAUACAUAGCCGACCUGAGAGGGUGAUCGGCCACACUGGGACUGAGACACGGCCCUGACUCCUACGGGAGGCAGCAGUAGGGAAUCUUCGGCAAUGGGGGCAACCCUGACCGAGCAACGCCGCGUGAGUGAAGAAGGUUUUCGGAUCGUAAAGCUCUGUUGUAAGUCAAGAACGGGUGUGAGAGUGGAAAGUUCACACUGUGACGGUAGCUUACCAGAAAGGGACGGCUAACUACGUG
rnacentral:rRNA from 1 species